rnacentral:rRNA from 1 species
GAUCAUUGCACACACAAGUGGCAGCCAACCCGCGGCGAACGAACACAUUGUCCCCCCCCCCGAGUCCUUCGUCCCGCGCGAGCUCGCUCGCGCGCGUGCGUCGGGUUUCCACGCGAUGCUUUCACCUUGACCGAAUGACUGAGUCCCUCGAUACUUCGAGAGGAGCGACGAGUGCCGUCCCUUGGCUUGGCUGGGGUCGGCGCUGGUUGCCUUCUCGCGAGUUGAAAACGUGAACCGAGAACAACUCUCAGCAACGGAUAUCUUGGCUCUUGCAACGAUGAAGAACGCAGCGAAAUGCGAUACGUAGUGUGAAUUGCAGAAUUCCGCGAAUCAUCGAGUCUUUGAACGCAAGUUGCGCCCGAGGUUCGUCCAAGGGCAUUUCCGCUAGAGCGUCACCGCGCCCCCCCACCGAUCCACUCCCGCCGGGAGUCGGGUCGAGUGGAAUUGGCCAUCCCCGGUGGACCUUCCGACUCCGUGCGAACCGAGUGGGGAAGGACUUGAGGGUUGGCCGAAAUGGAGGGAAUCGGGCCGCCGUGGCGACUCAGUCCGCGAUCGGGUGAUUUCGGGGCUCCUCCGGCCGGGAGUCCUGGAUUUUUCUAAGUGCGUGGCUGCGUCCCCCAGUCGGCCUUCGUUGUUACCUCGUGAGCAGGUCGAGCGCGCCCCCCGCGGCGCGCGUCACGCAUCAGA